rnacentral:lncRNA from 1 species
AUGUCUGAUUUAACCCAGGCCAUUCCCUCUAUUUCUUCUGUUACUGCUGAAGUUUUUGUUGACCAUGGUGAGCCUGAAAAAGAAGACAAUCAACAAAGUAAUAGACUCUUUAGAAAUAACCAAGGGCUCUCCCCCAAAUCAGUCUUUCUUCUCAAUGUUGUAUGUGAGAAACUCAUUAGGACCCUUCUGGAAAAAUGCACAGGCACUGUCCUUCUUGAUGAUGGUCUUUCUAAAGAAAUAUCAGCAGAAGUACAUCAUCUUUUAAAAACUCUUCAAAGGGUAGAAGAUGGAGAGCUUGGUAAUUGUGAGAGAUCAGUGGACUGCAAAAAUCUUCAAGGAGAUUGCAUGUCAAAUCUUUUGGAAAACGUGAUAGAAAUGGACCAAGAUUUACUGUCAUCAGAUUGUAUGCUUACUAUUAUUUCUCACAGCUUGGUGAAAUCAUUGAUGGAUAAAUUAUCUUAGAGUUCACAAGAAGCUCCUGGCAGCACUUCUUUGACAGAAUCCCGGAAUAAUCCCCAUGUGGCUAGCUCCCAAAUACAGUCAUCAUUUGGUGAGCAGUGUACAGUAAAAUCCUCUUCUUGGUCACCUCUUAACAGACAGAAAACAAAGGAAUUGGAUACAGUAGUCAUUCGUAACAUAUAUCAAAGAGAUGUGAACACAGGUGUUUAUCCAGCCACAUUUUUGGAGGAAAUAAUAUCAGAGUUGUUUUUUCAUUUCUCUACGUCCCUGUGGAAAAAAAAGGCAAACAUCACCAAGGCCCAGCUCAGUGAGAUGAAUACAUUGUUUGUCAACCACAUAGUAAAUGAGUUUAAUAAUGCUCAAGUCACUGUUCUGAGGAAUACUGAAGAAAGGCUGUAUUUUCCACCCAUCCUUAAAGAAAUGGUCAGGAAGAUUGUUGACUCAGUUUAUUAUGAUGCUUUACAGCAAUAUGAAUUGAAAGUGACCUGUGGUAACAACCUGGUAUAUGAAAAUGCUGCAAUAGCUGAGCAAGUAACAAAUGGUAUAUUAGAGAUUUCAGACUACCAACUCCCAUCUUCCCUCAAGGGAAACCUCAGAACUCAUUCAUGUUACCCUCUCGAAGCUGAAGUUAUACUGCAGAAGCUUCAAAGCAAUCUAAGAAAUCUUACUUUCCAAACCAGGU